GUACCGUGCCGUAGGUAACACUUUAAGUACCCCGCCUGGGGAGUACGGCCGCAAGGCUAAAACUCAAAGGAAUUGACGGGGCCCCGCACAAGCGGCGGAGCAUGCGGAUUAAUUUGAUGCAACGCGUAGAACCUUACCUGGGUUUGACAUGGAUCGGGAGCGCUCAGAGAUGGGUGUGCCUCUUUUGGGGUCGGUUCACAGGUGGUGCAUGGCUGUCGUCAGCUCGUGUCGUGAGAUGUUGGGUUAAGUCCCGCAACGAGCGCAACCCUUGUUCACUGUUGCCAGCACGUUAUGGUGGGGACUCAGUGGAGACCGCCGGGGUCAACUCGGAGGAAGGUGGGGAUGACGUCAAGUCAUCAUGCCCCUUAUGUCCAGGGCUUCACGCAUGCUACAAUGGCUGGUACAGAGAGUGGCGAGCCUGUGAGGGUGAGCGAAUCUCGGAAAGCCGGUCUCAGUUCGGAUUGGGGUCUGCAACUCGACCUCAUGAAGUCGGAGUCGCUAGUAAUCGCAGAUCAGCAACGCUGCGGUGAAUACGUUCCCGGGGCUUGUACACACCGCCCGUCAAGUCAUGAAAGUUGGUAACACCCGAAGCCGGUGGCCUAACCGUUGUGGGGGAGC
rnacentral:rRNA from 1 species